rnacentral:rRNA from 1 species
CCUACGGGUGGCAGCAGUGAGGAAUAUUGGUCAAUGGACGAGAGUCUGAACCAGCCAAGUAGCGUGAAGGAUGACGGCCCUAUGGGUUGUAAACUGCUGUUAUAGGGGAAUAAAAUGAGGCACGUGUGGGAUAUUGCAUGUACCAUAUGAAUAAGGACCGGCUAACUCCGUGCCAGCAGCCGCGGUAAUACGGAUGUUCCGGGCGUUAUCCGGAUUUAUUGGGGUUAAAGGGAGCGUAGGGGGUUUGUUAAGUGAGUUGGGAAAGUUUGCGGCUCAACCGUAAAAUUGCAGUUGACACUGGCAGUCUUUAGUCCAGUAGAGGUGGGCGGAAUUCGUGGUGUAGCGG